UAAUACCCCAUAGAUAUUCAAUGCUGGAAGGCUUGGAUAUCGAAAGCGCAAGCGCCAGAGGGUGAGUCUGCGGCCUAUCAGGUAGUAGGUGGUGUAACGGACCACCUAGCCUAAGACGGGUACGGGCCUUGAGAGAGGGAGCCCGGAGAUGGGUUCUGAGACACGAACCCAGGCCCUACGGGGCGCAGCAGGCGCGAAACCUUCGCACUGCGCGAAAGCGCGACGAGGGGAGCCCGAGUGCCUCUCCAUUUCGGGGAGGCUUUUCACAAGCCUAAAAAGCUUGUGGAAUAAGGGCUGGGCAAGACGGGUGCCAGCCGCCGCGGUAAUACCCGCAGCUCGAGUGGUGGUCGCUUUUAUUGAGCCUAAAACGUUCGUAGUCGGCCUUGUAAAUCCCUGGGUAAAUCGGACCGCUUAACGGUUCGAAUUCCGGGGAGACUGCAAGGCUAGGGACCGGGCGAGGUCAGAGGUACUUUCGGGGUAGGAGUGAAAUCCUGUAAUCCCGAAGGGACCACCUGUGGCGAAAGCGUCUGACUUGAACGGCUCCGACGAUGAGGAACGAAGGCUAGGGGAGCAAACCGGAUUAGAUACCCGGGUAGUCCUAGCUGUAAACUCUGCCCGCUUGGUGUGGCCUGUCCUUCGGGGGCAGGCUGUGCCGGAGCGAAGGUGUUAAGCGGGCUGCUUGGGGAGUACGGCCGCAAGGUUGAAACUUAAAGGAAUUGGCGGGGGAACACCGCAACGGGAGGAUGCGUGCGGUUUAA
rnacentral:rRNA from 1 species